UACGUAGGGGGCAAGCGUUGUCCGGAUUUAUUGGGCGUAAAGAGCGUGUAGGCGGCCAGGUAGGUCGGUUGUGAAAACUGGAGGCUCAACCUUCAGACGUCGACCCAAACCCCCUGGCUAGAGUCCGGAAGAGGAGAGUGGAAUUCCUGGUGUAGCGGUGAAAUGCGCAGAUAUCAGGAAGAACACCCGUGGCGAAGGCGGCUCUCUGGGACGGUACUGACGCUGAGACGCGAAAGCGUGGGGAGCGAACAGG
rnacentral:rRNA from 1 species